UCUAAAAAUGGCUGGGUUAUUUUUUAACCCAAAAUGCUGGGUUGAGUCUGUUGGGUUGUUUUGCUGGGUUAUUUUUUUACAUUUUAAACACUUUUUGGGUAGUUUCAGUUUUCUAGGUGUUGGGUUAAAACUGCUGGGUUAUUAUGUUGGGUUGUUUGAAGAGGCUCACGUGCUUCGCGCCCUUGAUGUUUGAAUGUGCUCAGCAAUGGUCGUCGUGAAAGGACAGAGUCACUGAAGCAGUUGUUUCAAGAGUGUGCAGAGUUUUAACGUCCAUCCAUUGAUGAGGCUAGCAAGACCUUCAAACAACUUCAGCCAAUUGCAACAAAUGUGGUGGAAUUUCUUCUCUGGACAGAAUCCUCGAAACCCUUUCCUUUCGUCCUGGCCAUGGGAAACAUGCAGCAGACCUCUCAAUCUUUUUUCUCAAUCAGUCUCUCUGAAUACGGAAGUGACUUAAACUGCAAUUCGGCCAAGAUGGCGACGGCACGCACCGCCUACUUUAAGCUUCAAAAAUGCUCUUCACAAACCAAUAGGUGACGUCACAGACACUACUUGCAUAUUUUUUACAGUCUCUGGUUUAAAGGCAUUUUAAGUGCUUAAAAAAAUAAAUACCCCAGGCAAUGUGCUUCUAUGGGAAUUCCUGUAGUCUGUCAUUUUUCAAAUGGAUGAAUCCCCUGCUGUUCGAUUCCUUUGUACAUCUUUGUUCGCGACGAGUAACUUUAAUAAAUGAAGUAUUUUUAGUCAAAUACAUUCCAUUCUGUGAAACUUAAAACAUUUGUUCUUUAAAAAAACUUUAAACAUCUAUGAAUGAUUUUACUUUUAAUUUAACAAUUACAUUGUUUCUUUUUUACACUGCUGUAGUUUUGUUUAUGUACAUUUCAGUAUUUCAUAUAUAUACUGUAAAAUUACAAAUUCUGUCUUAAAUUCAAACGAAUUGAUUCAACCUGUUACAUUGUUACUUCAAUGUGCAUAAUUUAUGAUAUUUUAUAAAUAUAUUUAUACUUGGGUCAGUAAGCAGUCCUUUAAAUGAUUUUGCAACUUACAACUGUAAAAAUGUAAGAGUUUGUAGUUAUUUUGCAAUCAAAUAAACAUUUAUUUGCUGUUAACAAUGGUCUUGAUUUACAAUAAAGCACAUGAUAAAAAUAACCCAGCAAGAAUAACCCAAAACCCAGAAUAUUAAUACCAUAAAUGGUUAAAAUGACUACAUGUUGGGUUUUCUCAACAACCCAACCUGCUGGGUUAAAAUGUGUUACCCAACGUGUUGGGUUACUUUAACCCAGCAUGUGUUCUGUCCAAUAUUUACCCAGCGCUGGGUUGCCAAUUGGGUUGUUUUUAACCCAACCAUU